rnacentral:misc_RNA from 1 species
GAUGAAGAACGCAGCGAAAUGCGCUAAGUAAUGUGAAUUGCAGAAUUCAGUGAAUCAUCGAAUCUUUGAACGCACAUUGCGCCCUCUGGUAUUCCGGGGGGCAUGCCUGUUCGAGCGUCAUUAUAACCACUCAAGCUCUCGCUUGGUAUUGGGGUUCGCGGUUCCGCGGCCCCUAAAAUCAGUGGCGGUGCCUGUCGGCUCUACGCGUAGUAAUACUCCUCGCGAUUGAGUCCGGUAGGUCUACUUGCCAGCAACCCCCAAUUUUUACAGGUUGACCUCGGAUCAGGUAGGGAUACCCGCUGAACUUAAGCAUAUCAAUAAGCGGAGGA